AGAAAAAGAUAUAUAUUUAUUGUAGUCCAAUGCUUUAUUGUGGUAUUGAAAAUAUUUCAUCACCACUAUCAGGAAGAGUGAUAUUAUUAUUUUUUAACCUUUAUAUAACUAGGUAAGUCCGUUAUUAAGAACAAAUUCUUAUUUACAAUGACGGUCUACAUCGGCCAAACCCGGACGAUGCUGGGCCAAUUGUGCGCCACCCUAAGGGACUUCCAAUCACGGACGGUUGUGAUACUGCCUGGAUUCAAACCACCGUGUCUGUAGUGACGCCUCUAACACUGAGAUGGAGUGCUUUAGACCGCUUCGCCACUCGGGAGAACAAUGCCAUUUGUUCAGAUAACAGAUGAUUUAUUGAUCUAUUAAAUCAUUCCUUCAGGCAUCAGUCUCACUUCAGAAUCCAAACCGGAUGUAAUAUAUUUCUUGCCACUGGUUGGCUUUGUGACGCUCGUCUGAUUUCCAAUAGGGAACACUGUAAAGAGAAAGAGGUGCAUAUUUCUUCACCCAGCACGGUCACUGAGCUGGCAAGCUAAAGUUAGCUAGUGAGCCACAGAAAUGUACGUUCAGUCUGUUAAUUAUUUCAGUCCGUUUGGAUUUAUCCUACUCAAAUCAACAUGGCUCAACAUAGUUUUUUCGUUUUUGACCUCGACAUUCUUGCUGGAUAGAUACUUUGAUAGCUAACAUGUGGGCUAGUCCCCUGUGGAUGCCUCCAUCUAGUUCCCUAGAGCAGCAGACCGGUUAGUCAACUUUGCUUUCGAACUUUGUAAUCAUCUGUAAAGUUGUUUUACAUGAAAUCACGCUAGCUAGAUAGCUAGCUAUAUUUUGUUAAAAAGCCUGUUGAUGUCAUUGGUUGUUUAUUUGGAGCUAGCUUACUAAGCUAUCACGAGCUAGCUAGGUGGUUAAUGUGGUGUAGGCAACAGUACCUUUACAGUGUUACUGAAUGACAACAAUAUAGCCUUGUAGUUGGCAAGUUGGUUGAUAUGGGGUGCAGUAGGCUAUAGUACAACAGUACUAAAUGAUAACAACGUGCCUUGUCACUAGCUAGUUGAUGGGGUGGGGUAAAGUAGGCUACAAUACAGCAACAAUAGCCUUCCUACUGUUCUGUUAUUCGUUGGGUCAGGAAAUGGUUAAAUUAGAUAAUAUUAUAGAAAUAUCACACAUUCCUGCAGCUGGGGUGGUGUCACAUUGUCUUUAUCCAUACCAUAGCUGCAGCUACGGAUAUGCCUUUUACUUGAGAGCUCUGUGUCUUUGCCAGGUCUCCCUUGACAAAAUGUUUUUUUUUUGACCUGGUAAAAUAAGCUUGUGUCCACUCUCACUAGAUAUAAUUGUGUGGUUCGGUGGCAGAUUUUCAAAAGAAAAUAGACAUAUACAGUAUAUCAUCAGCAAUUUUCAACCAGAUAAGAUACACAGCUAACCCACAUUUAAUUGAAUUCCUAAAUGUGGACACGAAUUAUUGUUAAUAUUCCAAUCCUCUAGGCCCCCAUUCCCAAACCUGAAGCCCCCUGUCCCCAGCAGGAAAUACCAAGAAAAACUUAAAUAAUAAUAUAUGAGGAAAUGUAAGAUAACUAACUCCAUGUCAUAUAUAGAUUUAGAGUUACUGACAUGAACAGAAGCAUAUACAAGCAAUCUAUCAAAUGUAUUUUAUAAAGCCCCUUCUUACAUCAGCAGUUGUCACCAAGUCCUUAUACAGAAACCCAGCCUAAAACCCCAAAGAGCAAGCAAUGCAGAUGUAUAAGCACAGUGGCUAGGAAAAACUCCCUAGAAAGGCAGGAACCUAGGAAGAAACCUAGAGAGGAACCGGGUUCUCUUCUGGCUGUGCUAGUGGAGGUUAUAAAACAGUACAGCGUUUUAGGCCAGAUCGUUCUUCAAGAUCGUUCUGCCUCAGGUCCUGCAGCCUUUAUUUAAUUGUUGUAGGCUAAGCCCUAGAGGUUUUGUAACGUCACAGGAUUUAGCGUACUUGUCAAUCCAGAUCUGAAUAUUUGAUAUCCUUUUUACUGUACACUGUUUUUUUUCUCCUAAGCUAAUCACUGAAUGUCCUACUACAAGGAUGUGGUCAGGUUGACACACUUACGAGCCACAAUAACACAGAUCACACACACCACAGAUUGCGAGGAUCUGUCAACCAGGCUCGGUGGGUGACAGGUAACCGUGUUUCCACAAAGAUGUUCCAGACCUGGAGUGGCACGCUGGAACUUCCAGAGGCUUGUAGACCUGAAGCAGUGUGAGGUAGAUCUGACACCCCUACUAGCUCAACCACAGUUCUCACAGCUGCAAUCGUCUGCUCCUGCACCUGCUACACUGGCCACGACAGGUGAUUCAGGUAAUUAUCACAUGCUUGUAUACACACACGCAUACUCUUCCUCACUUUGGGCUCUAUUCAAUCACAUCCACUUUAGCCAACAUCCACAUAGCAGUUGUUUUGGCGGUGUCUGAGAUGAAACUGUGUUAGAGCUGUCAAAUUCACCAGCGGCUCCUGGCAUUAUACCUAAAGCGGACACUGCCGUUGGCUGCACAGAGUCGUAUUAACAUAAAUCUCAUGCAGCCCUGUUUACAAGUUAGAACACUGGAAUUUGAGAUGUAAUCUCCACCUCAUUUAGGCUGAUAGAAAUCCUCAUUAUUUAGUUGAAUGAUUUAGAAUUUGAGCAUCAUUAUUUCUCUAUAACCUGCACUUUCUCAUUCUGAACUUGUAACGCGAGUAGGACGGGUGUAGUUUCGUGCCAGUGAUCAACAGCAGCGUCUUCCUGAUUUGACAAAUCCUACUCAGUUACACCUCAGACACGGCCAAAACAUCAGCUAUGCGUGUGUCUGCUAUCGCCGGUUAACGCUUAAUCUGAUUGAAUCUAGGCCUUACACUCAUUCACUCUGUUUAGUUGUAUGAUUUUUGUCAGUUAAGAAAAUGCCUCUUUUCGAUCUGCCACCCCCAGCAGUCCAGCAGUCCUCUGCUGUGGUAUUUAAUUUACCGGCAACACCGGUUCCUACUACAUUGGCCGUGAAGGAGAAUCUUUUGAGAAUUCCCAGAUGGAUACAGGUCAUUUAGAAUGAUAUUACAUACACAUACACUCACUCACACCAACAGAUGUGCACACAAACAUGUUGUUGAACUGUAUACUUACUGUCACGUUGUGCAUCUCUCUUUCAGAUCUGCCAUGCACUCCACCACUACACCAGACAGCCUCACCCAGAAGUGCAUGCACCGGGCCUAUCACAAAGCAGAGAUGGGUGGCUGACAAGGAAAAAUAAAAUACAACAUGCACACACUCUCUCUGUUACACACACAUUAUCCCCAAUGUAAAUAAAUUGUAAUUAUUUUAUUUUAGGAUUGGAGAUAUCUUCCGUCUACAUAUCCAUUAUCAAUAGCUACAUAAUUACUCUAUCCAAUCAAAGUGUGAUUGAUAAUAUUGUAAGAGUAUUGCUUAAUUUGUAGUUUGAGGAAAUUCUGUGUGCUUUUUUUCUGAGUUGAAAAACAUGCCUCCCUCUCUCUCUCACUCACACACACCCAAUGUAAAUACAUUGUUUAUUUUAUGUAUGCUCUAUUUUAUUUGAGGAUUGUGUGCAAUAAAGUACAUUCACAGUUAAA